AGAGAGAGAACGAAAGAGAAUUAAAAAUAUGAAUCGUUCUGUCAGUCACCUCACGUAUAUAUAAUACAAUGUCAUAAUACUAUGCUGCCAUAUGAUAUAAAUACAUGUCUACGGAUAAAGGAAUGCAUGGAACGUCACUCAAUAAAUCGGCCAAAGACACAUCGUUCGAUUCUUACAUCUUUAUUUCUCAGAGAAUCGACAUUUACCGAUGAUCGUUAGGAGAACCAUUCAGUUACGUGCGGAACUUCCUCGCCAGCCAUUAAGUAACGCAAUGUUUAAUCCGAGACGCAUAAAUUCUGAGACGGCCCGGUGGAGAAUUAUUGUUAAAUUAAUCAUAUGAAUUUAAUCACUCUUGAUCAGUGCAUCUUCUUGCAAACAUGUUAGGCGUUAUUAUAGUCUUAAUUGCGAA